rnacentral:pre_miRNA from 1 species
UGCCGAGGAAAACCUCGGUAGUUAACUGCCGCUUGUUUCAUUUUUCCUCGGUAGUUAACUGUCGAGGCGUCC